rnacentral:rRNA from 1 species
UGGGGAAUUUUUGGACAAUGGGCGAAAGCCUGAUCCAGCAAUGCCGCGUGUGUGAAGAAGGCCUUCGGGUUGUAAAGCACUUUUGUCCGGAAAGAAAUCCUUGGCUCUAAUACAGUCGGGGGAUGACGGUACCGGAAGAAUAAGCACCGGCUAACUACGUGCCAGCAGCCGCGGUAAUACGUAGGGUGCAAGCGUUAAUCGGAAUUACUGGGCGUAAAGCGUGCGCAGGCGGUUUGCUAAGACCGAUGUGAAAUCCCCGGGCUCAACCUGGGAACUGCAUUGGUGACUGGCAGGCUAGAGUAUGGCAGAGGGGGGUUAGAAUUCCACGUGUAGCAGUGAAAUGCGUAGAGAUGUGGAGGAAUACCGAUGGCGAAGGCAGCCCCCUGGGCCAAUACUGACGCUCAUGCACGAAAGCGUGGGGGAGCAAAACAGGAUUAGAUACCCUGGUAGUCCACGCCCUAAACGAUGUCAACUAGUUGUUGGGGAUUCAUUUCCUUAGUAACGUAGCUAACGCGUGAAGUUGACCGCCUGGGGAGUACGGUCGCAAGAUU